GACGCUGUGCACGGCGCAUACCUGCGAUUUAAUUGAAACAAGGCGUCGAGGUUCUUCGCCAGAUCGUGGCUUUGCCAUUUAAGGUAAUGUUUUUGUGCUGCUCGUGCGGUUAAUGAAUCCAAGUCCUCGGCGAAAAAGCGCUCUCGACUCCUUCGCCCGAGGAAACCGUCCCUUCCCUCGCAGCUGCACCAGGAAAAAAAACGCAACAAAACUCGAACCCCACAACAUGAAACGGCGCGGGGGAGAACGCAACCGCAAUUAAAAAGGCAGGAAAGAAUAUUGCUUUGGCAUCUUAAGGUGCGCAAGUGAGCGUUCCCUGCACCUUCAUUGAACCUCAUAUUUUCUGGAGCAGAUCAGCGGAAACGGACGCCAGGGAUUUAUUCCGAGACCUUAUGACAAAAGUAAGGUCUCCUGCGUUCUCUCCUCGUCCUGGACUCAGAGCUGUAUCAGUAACCCAGAUGAGAGAGUGGAGGAGCUGAGACGCUUCAUGCAGGACGGCAUUUCAUUCGUCCGUCGCUGUGUUUUUGCAGGAGGGAUUUUAGGUGAGAAGAUGUCAGCACGUCUGGCUGGAGCUUUUACAUAAUCACAUCGAUAUUUCUAUGAUUCAGCCUCUGGCAGCGUUGGGGUUUUCACUGGUGAUGUUU